ACUUAUGGCAACCCAUUAAAAAACACCAGAGGCCAUCUGAUCUUGGAAGUUUAGUAGGGUCUGUUCUGGCUAAUAUUUGGAUGGGAGACCACCAAUGAAUACCAGGUGUUUUAGGUU
rnacentral:rRNA from 1 species